rnacentral:lncRNA from 1 species
GGUAAGAUCUCUGAUCACGAGAAGCUUUGUCUGUAAAACCCUGCUUUCCACACAGAGUUUUAAAAUACUAAAAUGAUUUAUAAUACCCUGUUUUCCUAACAGAAUUUGAAUAUAACAAAAUAUUCCAAAAUGUUCAGUCUUUAAGAAAUCUAAGAUAGUGUUUAUUACAACCCAAAAUAGAUAACAAUGACUAUAAAAGUUUAUGUUCUACGCAAGCGAGCCUUGUCGCCUCGACGAGUCCUUUGUUUCCUACCACUCCAAUUAAGCAAGACUGCCUCCAUUCCCUGUAACAUUGUAUGUAUCCGUGAGUGAUUUUAUCACUCAGUAUGUAAAGCAUCCACACUAACAUUUCUCAAAUAUCAAGCUAUUUCACUUUACAAAUAGUAAGGAUUUACACAACAAGCAAGCAAGUAAACCCUUAAUUUACUUCAUCAAUCAAUCAUCAUUCAUAAGACUCAUAUGGGUCAUCAUUCGUCAUUCAUCAUUCACCGUCGGUUAGGCGUCAAAAUACCUCGGUCAUAUUUCACUCAUUCAUUCAUUCAUUCAUUCAUUCCUUCAUUCGUUCGUUCAUUCAUUCCUUAACUCGUUUACACAUGCAUUUCUACCUUGGUUCCCCCACAUUCAUGUAAUCCCUCCUUUAAUCAUAUUAUCAGUUUUGAAUCAGCAAUACAUUCAGUUAAGUAAAGCAAUUUUAGUCAUGGCACUAAUUCGAAUUAGUAUCAUAGAAAUCACAUAUUUUAAAUCUUUCAAACCAUUAGUAUUUUUACAUUUACCGUUUCAAACUAUCAGUAUAUUCAAACUAUUAACAAAUUAAUUCAACCAGUUUCAGUUAUCAUAGGUUAUCAUGCAAUCAAAUAUCACUAACUUUAACAACUCAUAAGGUCGUACACUUCAAGAUCAGUAAAAUUGAUAUCUAUCAUAAACACUAAGAAUCAUUAGAUUUAACAUAGGAAUCACUUAAAUAAUCAUUAGAUUUAACAUCAUAAACAUAUAUAAGAGUCAUUAGAUUUAACAUAAGACUCUAAUAAUUUAUAUAUCAUUACUGACCAUAAGAAUCAAUUUGAUUUAACAUCACUGCGGUUAUCCUUACUGACCAUAAGAAUCAGUAUAUUUAACAUCAUAAACAAAAUGAGUCAUUAGAUUUAACAUAAGAAUCUAAUGAUUUAUCAUUACUGACCAUAAGAAUCAAUUUGAUUAAUUAACAUCACUACGGUUAUCCUUACUGACCAUAAGAAUCAUUAUAUUUAAUAUUAUAAACAAUAAGAGUCACUAGAUUUAACAUAAGAAUCUAAUGAUUUAUUAUUACUGACCAUAAGAAUCAAUUUGAUUUCACAUCACUACGGUUAUCUUUACUGACCAUAAGAAUUAGUAUAUUUAACAUCAUAAACAAUAAAGAAGAAUCAAUUAAAUAUACAUCUAUCAUAGUGGAUCGGCAUCAGAUCUUUAUCAUUAUGCUCAGUAUAUUUCUAACAGUAAGUCAAUUAAAACAUAGAUUUCUGUUCUACCUUCCUAACAGUAGGUUGGGAAAUCCAAAUGUAGGAUCCAUGUGUUAUGUGGAUAGCAAGGUUGAGGAUUCUGGACGAGUUCGUCCAGAUCACCCAUUCCAAUUGAACUCGUUCAAUCUUCCUUUCACUCACCAUUUUCCCUUCUUUUCCCAUCUCCCAUGAACAUUUUCUUUUAAAAAUCUAACACUCUACAUAUAUACCUGAUCCUCCUUUGUCCGCCAAGCUUCACACCUACCACUCCACGAUACUGGAGCUUCUCUACAAAUCCCCGCCACAGUGCCACUUCCUCCUCUUGCCCUAGUCGUUCCCUUUCUUCCUCUUUUCUUCUCCUCAUUCCGUUGUUCUUAUUAAUUUAUCUAAGUCAUUCCGAAGAGGGAAAUCAAAUGGAGUUGUCAAAGUACGAAAAUGAAAAGAAGGUGGAGACAAAAUAAGUUUUACUAGAUGAGGGGAGACACUUCUUAUACAUCAUCCUUCAGCUAUGUUUGACGAUAGAGAAAUAGU